rnacentral:rRNA from 1 species
CAUACGGUGAAACUGCGAAUGGCUCAUNAAAUCAGUUAUAGUUUGUUUGAUGGUANAUGCCUGACUCGGAUAACCGUAGUAAUUCUAGAGCUAAUACGUGNAAUAAACCCCGACUCCUGGAAGGGAUGHAUUUAUUAGAUAAAAGGUDNBGCGGGCUUCUGCCCGGYGCUCUGGUUAUUVAUKAUUACUVKAUGGAUUGCACGGCCCUCGUGCCNGCGAUCGGCAUCAUUCAAAUUUCUGCCCUAUCAACUUCGAUUGGUUAGGAUAUGGGGCCUACCAUGGUGGUGAUAGACGGGURACGGAGAAUUAGGGUUCGAUUCCGGAGAGGGAGCCUGAGAAACGGCUACCACAUCCAAGGAAGGCAGCAGGCGCGCAAAUUACCNAAUCCUGACACGGGAAGGUAGUGACAAUAAAUAACAAUMMCGGGCNCAACGRGUCUGGUAAUUGGAAUGAGUACAAUCUAAAUCCCUUAACGAGA